AGGCGGUUCAUCCAGGCCCGAGGCGUCGGCUACAUCCGAGGCUAACAGCGGCUACAUCCGCGGCUAGCAGCGGUUACAUCCGGGGCUGGCAGCGGAAGCAUCGGUGGAGGAACCUUCAUCCAGGCCCGAGGCAUCGGUGGCGGGGAUACAUCCAGGCCCAAGGCGUCGGCUACAUCCGCGGCUAGCAGCGGCUACGUCCGCGGCUAGCAGCGGCUACGUCCGCGGCUAGCGGCGGCGGCAACCGAGGCCGGCGGCGGUAACAUCUGAGGCCGCCUACGGCUACAUUCCUGGCUGAUGGCGGCUACAUCCGUGGCUAGCAGCGGCUAUGACCGAGGCUGGGGGCGGCUGUGAACGAGGUUAGCAACGUGGAGGGUUUGUACGCGGCGACUGGACCUGUGGUGGUGGAGGUUACGGAUUCCACACACUCUCACCAUGAUUGGCCAACAUAAGAGGAAAUUUGAGGAGCUGACUGAGGAUCAAGGUUAUUCUUCACCACCCACUUUGGAUUCCAGUCCCAACAACCCAGCAAUGCCCAGUCUUAAGAGGACCAAGAAGACACAUCAAACCAGGGUGGCCUUUGGCCAGGUGACAAUGUUCCUCUUCAGUUGGUGUCAGGACUUCACUGCAAUUCCGUCUGAGGGAGGCUGCACCCUGGGAAUGAUGCCGCACCACAAUGUCCAACAAACAUACACAGUUGACCAUUAUGACAAGAAGCAGGAUUACAGGCGGAGGAAAAUACUCUGGUAGGGACUCACGAGAAUCGAGGAACGGGCGUCUGCCAGAGGUGAAAGAACACCAACAGGGCGGGUUUGCUGAGCAUGCUCUGAAGAUGAAGGCUGGAUACUGGGAGAAACGCUUUUUUUCCCAGAGAUACAAAUCGGAGAGACGUUAUUCUCUGCUUAAGCAGCUGGUAUCGAAUUCAUCGACAGGGAGGAGGAGACACAGCUGCAGGACCUGAGGAGCUCUAGGAGGAACGUUGGAUGUGACUGCAAGGGCCACUGCGAUCCUCUGCCCUGCAGCUGCAGUCUGGCUGGCAUCAAAUGUCACGCAAAACAUACCGCAUUGGUAUGCAACUGCACCGAAGACUGCUGUAGGAACAUCCAGGGUCGCACCCCGUCCAAUAAGCUCGGGGUGCGAGCCCAUUACCAGCGCACCAUAAUGAGACUGAAGUCAGAGAGGAGGACGCUCUGAAGACACCAGACUGAUCCCUACAGCCACCCUGGAACAACUGAGACUUUAAAUUUGUUUUUUUAUUAUUCUUUUGUGAAUUCAAACAUGUUAAAAUCAAAACAACAAUUUAAAAAAAAAAUCAAUGAAUACAAGUUUUUAUUUUCAAAAAACUUUUUUGGUUUUCUGCUUCCGUUGCUUUUCACUUUAACUCAAAAACGAUCUCAACUAACAAAUAAGACUUCAGGCAAAACAAACAAAAGCAUUUUGUUCAUAAUUUCAGAAUCUUCACUAUGUUGCAUCUUUUUUAAUUAAUUUCUUGAGGUGGACAUUUUCUGGUUCUUAUUUUAAUUAUUUCAUGAACUGAUGCCUUUGACUGUAACACUGUGAUUUGCUGGACAACAUGGAUGUGAGCCUCUCUUCAGAGUCGGACCUGGAAUUCUUCCAUGGAUUUCCAUAUCUGGGCCCAAACUCGUUCAAGGUGUCCUAACGCAUGGACAACUGUUUUCAGGUUCAGUUGCUGAGCCCAGCGUCCCAUCAGAUGGUGUCCCCCUGGACGUGCUUCUUGGAGUCAUUAAUUUUCACUUUCAGAAUCGACCCCAGAACCUCCUUCUGCUUUUACAGGCAAUCAGUUGUUGGAAGAAGCUGAGAAAUUGUCUUUGAUGAAAAUUUGUGGACAGUCUGACAAAACAGAAAUGGUUCAAAGUACGGAGGGGGACUGCAUGUGGACAUAAGAUAUCAGUGUCCACAUGUUGGAUUUGGAGGAAGCUGUGAUUUUUUUUUUUUCCAGGUUUGCAUGAUGUUCAUCUCAGGGGAUUUAUUUAUUUUCUAUUCUGGCUCAGUCCAGUCAAG